UUCUGAAAACUGCAAUUUUCUCUUUUUAUGAAUGGUAUGUGGAGGAGGAAUUCUGGUUUUGUUCCAUUGCUGGUGUUGUUACAGGAUGGUUUGGUCACGUUUUUAUGGGUGUUCCAAAGUUUGUAAGGCCAUAAGUUUUAUUGGAUUUUACCAUAAUUUCUUUUAGAUUUAACUUCAAAUAGACAGUUUGUUGCUAGAUUAACUAAUCUAUUUUUUGUUUUGUUUUUGGUUUUUUAGCUUCAAACUGACAGUAUUGGGUUUGAUUCCUAUUGGGUUAAUGCAGUACGGGGACACUUCCCUUUGGAAGCAGAGGCAUAAUGACCAUGGGAUUGUCUUUCAUAUAAGGUGCUGGAUAUUCAUUAAUUCACUGCUGAAAUUGACUCCAAGUAACUUCCCAAAGGUGAAUGGAGGAAAGAAAUAGAAUCUGUUGUCGGCAAGUAAUAUAAGAAGGAAAGAUAGAGAGAGGGCAAGUGAUAUAAAGGUUUUUUGGUGGAUGAGAGUAUGAAUGAGUUGCAAACUCUUUUACAUGGUUUUUAAAUUUCUCCCGCAAAUGGUCACUUGUUGAUGCUCUUAAGUCAAAUACUUUGAUCUUUUGCCU